AGCAGCCGCGGUAAUGCCAGCUCCAAUAGCGUAUAUUAAAGUUGUUGCAGUUAAAAGCUCGUAGUUGAAUUUCGGGAUCAUAAGGCUGGUCGUGCCUCUGGUAUGUACUGAUCUCGAUGGUUCCUCCUUCUUGAAGAACCGUAAUGGCAUUAAUUUGUUGUUGCGGGGAAACAGGACUGUUACUUUGAAAAAUUAGAGUGUUUAAAGCAGGCAAUCGCUUGAAUACAUUAGCAUGGAAUAAUGAAAUAGGACGUUCGAUCCUAUUUUGUUGGUUUCUAGGAUUGACGUAAUGAUUAAUAGGGAUAGUUGGGGGCAUUAGUAUUCAAUUGUCAGAGGUGAAAUUCUUGGAUUUAUUGAAGACUAACUACUGC
rnacentral:misc_RNA from 1 species